UUAUAAUAAUGAAGCCUUAUAAUUUCUCUUACCUUGAUUACCUAUAGUUAUUUUACUUUGUAUUUUUUACCUCGUUCUUUUUCAUUUUCAAAUAUCUAAGAACUUAUACCCUUUUUCAUCACAAAUUUCUCGCAUUAUCCCUUUAUCAAACCAAACCAAUCGCUUAGAUCUCUCACUCGAGUAAUCAUUCUAGACCCUCCUAAUGAUCAAAGAUAAGAAAAACAAGGGGAGGAAAAAGAAUUGAAAAGAAAAGCCACAAAGCGAAACCGUUGGAAAAGCCAAAGAUAAAUUUUUUUUGGUGUUCUGGGUAUUUGUCAAAGGUUACAAUUUUGGUCUGUUUUGCUGAACUUUUCAGUUGUACAAGUAACUGUACUGAUCCAAAAUUGAAGUACACUAUUGAUGAGCCCAAUGGCUGCACGUACACUAUCUCUAGCCACACCUGGGACUAAUUACCUAAAGGAGACACUCCAUGCUCAGCAAGAACUUUUGCAGAAACUAUACAGUGAAUUGGAUAUGGAGAGAGAAUCCUCUGCUACUGCUGCUGAUGAAGCUUUAUCCAUGAUAUUAUGCUUGCAGGGUGAAAAGGCAGCAGUGGGAAUGGAGGCUAGUCAAUAUAAGAGAAUUGCCGAAGAAAAGAUUUGUCAUGCUCAAGAAACACUCGAGACUUUUCAGGAAGUAAUAUAUCAGAAAGAAAUGCAGAUUGCUUCCCUUGAGUUCCAAGUUCAGGCAUACAGGUUCAAACUUUUGAGCAUGGGGUGUGAUGAUUUAGGUACCUGUGAGAUACAAUAUCCUGAUAACAUGUUGUCAAGAAAAAAUGCAGAAGAAUCAAGCUCGCGAAGCACUCUCAGACGGAAUAGUUCACUACCACCUCCUCCAAAUAAUGGUGCGUUGAGUAGGCGAGCUUCUACCGAGGGAACAAAAUCCUCAACACCCUCUCCACACCCAUGGCAGGAAAGUAAAGGUGAAGACCCCUAUAUUCGAAGGGAGCAAGAUUCAUAUUGGGAAGAGAUUAAGAAGUUAGAUGAACGGUUGAAGGAGUUGGAUGAUCUUAAGGGCUCUAGUACUUUCCCUUCAACUGAGGAUACAAAUAAUGUUCCACUAACAAGUGCAUCUCCAAUUGCAUCCCUCCCCUGAAAAUACUCCUGCAAAAUCAGAUAUUCUUGAAUCUCCUGAAACUGCAGCCAGUGUUCAAGCAUGUGAAGAUUUUGCUUGCUCGACAAGUGUUCAGGAUAUCUUUGAAGUCCCAAUAUGUUCUUUAGUUGAUCAAGAUGGUACUUCUAAGGAAGAAAGCCACAAUCUGACUGUUGAAAGUGAAAUUAGGAACGGAAUGCUAGAUUCUGUCUGGGGUAAGAUAUGUAAGUCUAUUGUCAAGGAGAAAAAUGAUUGGGAGAAAAAACCAUUGUUAACUCCAGAUAGUGACCAAAGCUUAACUAAGACAGAUGAUGCCAAAGAGAAAAUUGAUUGGAAAAAGAAGCCAUUGUUUUCCCCAGGUAGCAGUAAUGAUUCACUUAAACCAAAAGAGUGCAAGACUGAUAAGCCAUUGCUUUUUAAACAACCAACAUUUGGCGUUGCUGACUUGGAAUUUCAGCAGUUCAACAGAAGACUUAAGCAACUUAAGGAUCAGAGGUUUGUAACAAGAGGCCAUGAAAUAAACGCUGAUAAAGCAGAAGAAGAAUUGAGAGUUUUGUGGGAGAUUAGGGAUAAAAUUGACUCAAUGCAGGCUGAGAUAUCUCGCUGGAAGACUAAGAAGCCUUUGCCAACAGAAGGUCGUUCCCCUGGUUGCCUUAAAGAGGUGAUCCUUUGCUUUUGGCCUUAAUCAAAUCUCUAGACGAUCAUGGUGUGGUAGCUCCUUAUUUUUUCUAGAAUUAAUAUCUGGAAAAGAAUGCUCACUAUCUUGGAGGAAUUUUGUGUUUCUGUUUCUUUCAUAAGAUGAAGUCGUGAAAUCGCUUAGUUAAAUGCGUUUUGAGUUCCCUGUAUAUCAUGUAUAGAUAAACAACCUAUAUCGCAUAGAAACAUCUCUUCGAGGUGAGUUCCAUACCUUAGAGAACAUAUAUGGCUCCUUGUUUUCUUUGGUUUUCCUAGCUGUGUAAAUUUCCUUCUCAUACAGAAUUGGAUAUACAUGCAAGUUUGUAAAUGAUUGAAACAACACUAAGUCUUUGGCGCCUUGGCGGAGAUUUAGAUUUUUGAUUGUCAAAUCACUCUAUCUUUUGAUUUUUGAUAGUAAGAUGCCGUUUCCUUUCACCUGAGAGCAACUUAUCUGAACUUCUGUUUGCUUAACACUUAUUGGAAUCUGAAAUGUACUCUUUGGAUGUGGAAAGAACAAAGCCCAAGUGUCAAUGGUGUACAGUGUAAAAACUUUUUGAAGCCUUUUGAGUUGAUGCUUGUUGCAUUUUACUUAAAUAUGAAGUUAUAGUGCUCUAAAGUUAAUAUGUUAUUCAUCUUUAUUGUAUCAAUUUUAAGUACCAGGAGGUUUUUUUUUUUUUAAAUUAUGUUUUUAAUUUAUUUUUAACCCUUUGAAAAAUUUAGAAAGUUGAUCUGCCUUAGUCAUUAGAUAUGCCUUAUCAUGCAUCUAGCUAAGACAAUUUUAAAAAGGUGCACCCUGAUUCCUUUUGAUUUGUGGUUACUUACCUCAAUGAAUAUUUUACCCCCAUAAACCUACACAUUCUUUCGUUUAGCUUCACACUUGAGAAACUUGUAGCGACGGUGUUCUAUCGAAAAUUUUAAAGUGCAAUUUCCUUGUUGUAG